CGUCCGCCAGGGUGGCGAGCUGCGCGCGGGCGUCGCCGGCCCGGAUGCGCAGGCCGGGCGCGCGGGGCAGGUCGAACCAGCCGCGGACGA
rnacentral:tRNA from 1 species